AGGCUACCCUGCCGGAUACUGUCCUACGGUGAGGUAGAACUCCACGGGGUGUCUACACUGACCUACGGUGAGGUACAACCCCACAGGGUGUCUACACUGACCUACGGUGAGGUACAACCCCACAGGGUGUCUACACUGACCUACGGUGAGGUACAACCCCACAGGGUGUCUACACUGACCUACGGUGAGGUACAACCCCACAGGGUGUCUACACUGACCUACGGUGAGGUACAACCCCACAGGGUGUCUACACUGACCUACGGUGAGGUACAACCCCACAGGGUGUCUACACUGACCUACGGUGAGGUACAACCCUACAGGGUGUCUACACUGACCUACGGUGAGGUACAACCCCACAGGGUGUCUACACUGACCUACGGUGAGGUACAACCCCACAGGGUGUCUACACUGAAUAAAAUAUAAACACAACAUGUAAAGAUUUGGUCCCAUGUUUCAUGAGUGGAAAUAACAGAUCCCAGAAAUGUUCUUUACGCACAAAA